rnacentral:rRNA from 1 species
GAUGAACGCUGGCGGCGUGCCUAAUACAUGCAAGUCGAGCGAACGGACGAGAAGCUUGCUUCUCUGAUGUUAGCGGCGGACGGGUGAGUAACACGUGGAUAACCUACCUAUAAGACUGGGAUAACUUCGGGAAACCGUAGCUAAUACCGGAUAAUAUUUUGAACCGCAUGGUUCAAAAGUGAAAGACGGUCUUGCUGUCACUUAUAGAUGGAUCCGCGCUGCAUUAGCUAGUUGGUAAGGUAACGGCUUACCAAGGCAACGAUGCAUAGCCGACCUGAGAGGGUGAUCGGCCACACUGGAACUGAGACACGGUCCAGACUCCUACGGGAGGCAGCAGUAGGGAAUCUUCCGCAAUGGGCCAAAGCCUGACGGAGCAACGCCGCGUGAGUGAUGAAGGUCUUCGGAUCGUAAAACUCUGUUAUUAGGGAAGAACAUAUGUGUAAGUAACUGUGCACAUCUUGACGGUACCUAAUCAGAAAGCCACGGCUAACUACGUG